rnacentral:rRNA from 1 species
UACGGAGGGUGCAAGCGUUAUCCGGAUUCACUGGGUUUAAAGGGUGCGUAGGAGGGCAGGUAAGUCAGUGGUGAAAUCCCCGAGCUUAACUUGGGAACUGCCGUUGAUACUAUCUGUCUUGAAUGUUGUGGAGGUGAGCGGAGUAUGUCAUGUAGCGGUGAAAUGCUUAGAUAUGACAUAGAACACCAAUUGCGAAGGCAGCUCGCUACACAAUUAUUGACUCUGAUGCACGAAAGCGUGGGGAUCAAACAGG